AAAACCCGAAAAAAAGAAAAAGGUUGGAAAGUGAUGAGUUUAGAAUACAAAAGGAGGCGCAUGGAAAUUUCAUCUCAUAAAUAAGUCAUCCCUUCCCUGUGCUCAGUCUUCUCUUGGCGAUGGUGAAAUCCAACGAUAAUGGUUCUGGUUCUGGUUCGGUUGCUCCUUUCUUGAAGAAAUGUUACGAUAUGGUGGAGGACCAGAAAACCGAGUCCAUAAUCUCUUGGAGUGAAGGCGGUGAUAGUUUCGUGAUUUUGGACAUAACUGAAUUCUCCGUCACACUCCUUCCCACAUAUUUCAAGCACAACAAUUUUUCCAGCUUCAUCAGACAACUCAACAUCUAUGGUUUCAGGAAAAUUGAUACGGAUCGCUGGGAAUUUGCCAAUGAAAACUUUGUUAGGGGUCAAAAGGAUUUGUUGAAGAAUAUACGUAGAAGGAAACAUCCACACACGGUGGAUCAGCAAAAAGCAUUGCCGCAGCAGGACAAUUGUGAGGAACCAUCACAUGAAUCACCACAUCAUGGCCUUUGGAAAGAAGUUGAGAAUCUCAAAUCUGAUAAAAAUUCCCUCAUGCAGGAGUUGGUCAAACUUAGGCAGCACCAGGAGUCUUCUGAUAAUAAGUUGCUACUCCUGAGUGAUCGCCUUCAAGGAAUGGAAAAGCAUCAGCAGCAGAUGUUAUCAUUCUUAGUCAUGGUUGUGCAAAGCCCUGGGUUCAUGGUUCAGCUGCUUCAGCCCAAGGAAAAUAAUUGGCGUUUGGCUGAACCGGGGAAUAUAUUGGAUCAAGAUAAACAAGAUGAUCGUCCAGUUACUUCUGAUGGGAUGAUAAUAAAGUAUAAACCACCUGUAGGUGAAAAGCUAAAGCCAGUGGUUCCACUAUCUCCUGGUUUCGACAAGCAACCAGAACCUGAGAUUUCUGUAGAUGGGCUAAAAGACUUGUGCAUCAGUUCUGAAUUCUUGAAAGUACUUCAGGAUGAAAAAUUGUGUCCUUUGGAAAAUCAUUCUCCAUUUCUCCUACCAGAUUUACCUGAUGAUGGUUCGUGGGAACAGCUCUUUUUAGGUAGUCCUUUUUUGGCAAACAUUCAAGAUUCUAAUAAUGACAGUGAGGGCUGCCCUGUUAGUGGAACUGAGAUGGAACCCAUAAUAUCUGAGACUCCUGAUGAAAGUUGUCGAACUUUUGAAUCAAUGAUUGUAGAAAUGGAGAAAAUAGGGAAGGAGUAAUAAUGUCCAUAGAUUUUGGAACCCCAAACUGAGCAAAUGGAACUUCUAGCUUCUGAAACUAACAAUAUAUAGAGAAGGAGUAAUAAUGUCCACCAGAUAUUUUUCAGCUGGACUGUUUUCACUGAUUUCCUCACUCUAUAAUUAUGUCAUAGUAUUAAGUCGCAAUAUAAGUAUUUUCUCUUCCAUCUUCCUCCAGCAGUUGUUAGAUCCUCAACAAGAAUCAGUAUUUUGGCACUUCGAUACGGUGUCCGAGUACAGGGAGUUGUAUGGUAUUGCGGGCUAUCUAUGAAUGAUGGGUCAAAUAUUUUUUUUAUUUGGAGAAUUGUAGGGGGGAAAUGGGAGCUUUAUUUUUUUUGCCACAUUAAACAGUGGCUCAUGCCUUCAUAUAUGUUAUGAAAUUUCAUAUAAUUCAUAGUAAUCACAGUUUCUUUUGCAUAUUAUUGCAGAAGCCUGUGCUUCAUUGCAUAUUCUUUCCCGCAGUUCCCAUUCCUCUGUGAACUUAAUUCUUCUACUCUUGUUUGUGUUUGAUAUGGCGGCUAAGAGAUUUUGUUGACCCACCAUAGAGGGUCAUCAUAGUAUGAUUUUUUUUUUCGCUUUGCUAAUCUAAGUUGGACUUUGCACUUCAGAACAUUUUCGGGUGCUCCAUGGUACUACUAUAAAUCAUUCGCUGGGUGAUCUUCCCAACCCCAGUACCCUUCAACGCAUUCACUAGGGGUCUGGUAACACGUAUUAGUGACAAUGCACGAUAAAUUCUUGUGAAGACUAGUUCUGUAAUCUAGGCUUAGCAAGUAGCUUAUAUAUAAUUUUUUGUAUAAAUAAUUAUUUUACCCAAAUUUAUUUGUAGAAUCAUAGAUGCUUAUAGUGUUAUUCUUCAAUUGAAAUUGAAAUUUUAACUU